rnacentral:rRNA from 1 species
ACGGGGGGAGCGAGCGUUGUUCGGAUUUACUGGGCGUAAAGGGCGCGUAGGCGGCCACCGCAAGACAAUUGUGAAAUCUCCGGGCUUAACUCGAAAAGGUCAACUGAUACUGCGGGGCUAGAGUGCAGAAGGGGCAACUGGAAUUCUCGGUGUAGCGGUGAAAUGCGUAGAUAUCGAGAGGAACACCUGCGGCGAAGGCGGGUUGCUGGGCUGACACUGACGCUGAGGCGCGAAAGCUAGGGGAGCGAACGGGA